rnacentral:rRNA from 1 species
ACGAACGCUGGCGGCGUGCUUAACACCUGCAAGUCGAACGGUGAAGGGAUCAGCUUGCUGGUUCUGGAUGAGUGGCGAACGGGUGAGUAACACGUGAGUAACCUGCCCCCUUCUUCUGGAUAACCGCAUGAAAGUGUGGCUAAUACGGGAUAUUCUGCGCCUGCUGCAUGGUGGGUGUGGGAAAGAUAUUGUUUCGGUGGGGGAUGGGCUCGCGGCCUAUCAGCUUGUUGGUGGGGUGAUGGCCUACCAAGGCGGUGACGGGUAGCCGGCCUGAGAGGGUGGACGAUCACACUGGGACUGAGACACGGCCCAGACUCCUACGGGAGGCAGCAGUGGGGAAUAUUGCACAAUGGGCGCAAGCCUGAUGCAGCGACGCCGCGUGAGGGAUGGAGGCCUUCGGGUUGUGAACCUCUUUCGCCAGUGAAGCAGGCCUGUCCCUUGUGGGUGGGUUGACGGUAGCUGGAUAAGAAGCGCCGGCUAACUACGUG